rnacentral:rRNA from 1 species
AGAGUUUGAUCAUGGCUCAGAAUGAACGCUGGCGGCGUGCUUUACACAUGCAAGUCGAGCGAGGCGUCCCGCAAGGGAUAGUCGAGCGGCGAACGGGUGAGUAACGCGUGGAUAACCUGCCCUGAGGUGGGGGAUAACCAAGGGAAACUUUGGCUAAUACCGCAUGAUACCGAGAGGUCAAAGGGGGCUCGCAAGGGCUCCCGCCAUAGGAGGGGUCCGCGUCCGAUUAGCUAGUUGGUAGGGUAACGGCCUACCAAGGCCACGAUCGGUAGCCGGCCUGAGAGGGUGAUCGGCCACACUGGAACUGAGACACGGUCCAGACUCCUACGGGAGGCAGCAGUGGGGAAUUUUGCGCAAUGGGCUAACGCCUGACGCAGCAACGCCGCGUGGAGGAUGAAGGUCUUUGGAUUGUAAACUCCUGUCAGCAGGGAAAAAGCGAAUUGACCUAAUACGUCAGUGAGUUGAUUGUACCUGCAGAGGAAGCCCCGGCUAACUCUGUGCCAGCAGCCGCGGUAAUACAGAGGGGGCAAGCGUUAUUCGGAAUUAUUGGGCGUAAAGGGCGCGUAGGCGGCUUGGCAAGUGGAAGGUGAAAUCCCUCGGCUUAACCGAGGAACUGCCCUCCAAACUGCUUCGCUUGAGACCGGGAGAGGUGAGUGGAAUUCCCAGUGUAGCGGUGAAAUGCGUAGAUAUUGGGAGGAACACCAGUGGCGAAGGCGGCUCACUGGACCGGUACUGACGCUGAUGCGCGAAAGCGUGGGGAGCAAACGGGAUUAGAUACCCUAGUAGUCC